rnacentral:miRNA from 1 species
UGGAAUGUAAAGAAGUAUGGCG